GGGAUGACUUGAUGUUGGAAAAGAGGAGGAGUCAAAGGAACCACUUUCAGCUGGGGAGCCAAACCCGUCUCGUUGAGGGAGCCUAGAGCAAGUUGUUUUAAUUUUACCCAGCAUUUGUGGAGCUUCUGAGUCGCUGAAGAGAAAGCCCUGGUUGCACAGGUGAGGACCUGAUGAUACUGAGGCUCAGGGAAGUUAAGUAACUGCCCAAAGACACACAACACUAGAGACGAUAUUUGACUGCAGUCUACUCAACAUAAGGACCAUGAGGAUAAAAAUCUUUAUGAGGAUCCACUUCCACUUCAUGAAUAGAUUGGGAGGCCUGGAAGAAAAAGAUCUGGCUAUGUUAAUAGAGAUUCUUUACAGAUGCACCUGUCCCUCCACCAAGGACAACUUUGCAGGACCAUUUCAAGAUACAGCAAAGAAACAUGUUUUGGGAUGAAGAAACCAUCACACGAAUAUACUGUAAAUAAAUUACCCUGUGGACACUCCGAUUUCUGAGAAGGACCGUCUGAUCUCAUUGUCUAUGUGCUUCUUUAUCUCCAUGUAGACCGUCUACCAACAGGAAUAGACUGGUAUGCCAGUUUGCUUUAUCAGC
rnacentral:lncRNA from 1 species